UUUGGGGAGAUUGUCGAAAAGGGGGGGAGAGAGAGAGAAGGCUUUAGAAGCCGCCGUUGCGCAUGUGCGAAGGUGUCCAAACUGACAAUGCUGGAGAGAUAGCGAGCUUUGGGGCUGUUGCAGGAAAGAGUGGCUUGUGGAGGAGGGCGAAAGAAAGAGAGAAAAGAAAGAGCGAGGGAGGAGAAGAGAGGGGGGGAAAGAGAGAGGAGGGAGGGAGGAAGGAGGGGGGGGGUCACCAACCCAUCGGUUGAUUGUCUCUUCUCCUUCUUCUUCUCCUUCUUCUUCCUCCCCCCUCCCUCCAAGCAACGUCCGCCGGACUGGGCAGCAAUGCGAUCCAAAGCCAGAGCGAGGAAACUGGCCACAACUGAUUUCAAUUGGUGCAAAUUGGAUUCAAAGUGCAAAAAUAGUUUGUUCUCAACUCAGGAGGAAGAGAGGACAGAUAGAAGUUUCACAUUUCUUGGUAGGUUGAUUUGGCUUUUUUUUUUUUACUUUCUUAAACUCUGUAUAGAUUCAAGGGCAUCUGUUCUCAAAAUUGCAGUUUUUCACUUUCUUCCCAUGUUGUUAACAUACUCUUUUGAUUGCAUUCUCAUUGUGAUCAGUCACACAUGUCUGUUUUCUUCUGUGAAAUGUUUGAUGGUAUUAAGAAUGUGAAAUUCUUGAAGGAUCCUAGUGUUUAAUUAGUUUUUAAUAUCAAGCUAUUUUAUUUAGUCAAUAAAUCAAUUGUACAGUAUAGUCCAAUGUAUGUCUACUUAGCCCUAUUGAGUUCAAUAGGGCUCACUUCCAGAUAAAUGGGCGUAAGAUUGCUGCCUAAAACCUCAGUAAAUAAAUAUUAGAAACAUGGCAGGGGAAAAACAUUAAGAAAUGGUGAGGUUAAGAGUGUAAGUAAUUUCUGCUUAUUGCUUGAAGCUCAAAAGGUCCUGAAUGGGAAAUAAAUCUCUAUUUUUCUUUUAUCUUUAGCAAAUCUAUCUUCUUUUAAAUUUUAAUAUUUUUAUAUAAAGUUCUAUUCCUCUAAUUUUAAGGGUUAUGAAGUAACACCAUAGCUCUAGUUUUUCUACAUUUUACCCAUGGGAUUAUACUUCUUGCUAAUUUGCACAUUUAUUUACAUUUUAUUAAUUAAAACAACUAAUCUUUUAGAAAUUAUGCAGUUUAAAAAUUGCGCAACCAAAAUGUUACCUUAUAUAUUUAAAUAUGAUUUUUGAAGCAAUAGGAUUUUUUUCUGUGUCAGGAGCAACUUGAGACACUACAAGUUGCUUCUGGUGUGAGAGGAUUGGCUGUCUGCAAGGACAUUACCCAGGGGAUGCCCAGAUGUUUUUAAAAAAAUGUUUUUACCAUCCUUGUGGGAGGCUUCUUUCAUGUCCCUGCAUGGAGCUGGAGCUGAUAGAGGGAGCUCAUCCAUGCUUUCCCAGGGUUGGAUUCGAACUGGCAACCUUCAGGUCAGCAACCCAGCCUUCAAGUCAUCAGUCCUGCCAGCACAAGGGUUUAACCCACUGCACCACCCCUAAAACAAUAGGCUGUCAAGAGUGCUAGUUCUAAAAUAGUUUUUUCUAAACCUGAUGCCCUCUAGAUAUUAAGGACGGAAACUCCCAUCAAUCUCAUCCAACAUGGUCCUCACUUUUGAAGACUUCUGAAACUUUUAUCUAAAAAUAGCUUGAGGGCCAUAGGUUUGGGAAAAUUGUUUUAAGUGAUGGCAAAAAGUUUGUGCAUGUCUAUAUUUUAUAACAAUCAAAGUAUAGCAUCCUUGAGUUGGAAAGAAACUAAGAUUUGUCCAAUGGCAGCACAGGAAUCCACAGACAGGCAUACAGACAAGCAACCAUCAGACCUAUAUUAAAUGUUAGCAAAGGAUUGUCCACCACCUGGUAAUGGUAGUCAGUUUCAUUGUUGAGCAGCUGUUGCUAUCAAGAAAGCCUUCCCUUCCCAUCCCAACCUGUUUCUCAACAUGGGAGAAGAUCCAUGGGAGAUGUUUCAAAACUUGGAUUUGGAAUACGGAAAUAAGGACUUUACAAAUUCCUUAAACAUGGGCCUCCCUAGUGAGAUCAGACUGGCCCCUUCCCUCCUGGCUUUUAGAAAAAGCGUGAAAACAUGGCAUUUGGGUAGUGCAAUAUGAACUCAGCAAAACGGAACAAUACUAAUGAUGGUGGCAAGACUAUGUAUUAUGUUUUAAAGUUUUAUUAUAUUUAUAUGCUCUAGUUGUUUUAUGGUUUGUAUUUUGUAUUGCUAUAUAUUGUUGAAUUGUGGCAUCGAAUUGUUCCAGAUUAUGUAGGCUGCUCCAAGUCCCGCUCAGAGUGAGAAGGGCAGGGUAUAAAUAGAGUAAAUAAAUUACUAUUAAGCUAACACAAUGAUGACAAAAAUUAAGUAAUAUCUGGAAUACAAAGAAAUUUCCCUGUAAAAAUAUUUAUCUUAUGCUUCAAGAUUCGAAGCCAAGUGGAAAGACUUGGCUAAACUCUAACAUGGAGUUCAGAAGACUUAAAUCCAUUGAAAGCAAUGGGCUGAACCAUAACCUAAUAAUUUGUUGAACUGUGGCCCGUUGGUUCAAUAGGACACAAUACGGAUCUCUCCACUGUUUCAUUCUCUGGAAUAAAACAAAAUAUACCUGAAGCAUGUGCAUAAUCAAAUACCUGAGAGCCAAAUACAAAAUGCCCUUAGGGUUCUGUGAGUUGUUAAGAAAAAAGUAGAUGAAGUGAAACUAGUAAUGGACAUAGUUGUUCGCUGCUGGAGAAAGAUGAGAUGAACCACAAAGAGAACUCUACCUAACCAAGAUACAACCAGCUUAACUAAACAGACAGUUAUCUUGAGAUGUAGCGUUAUUUGCCAUCAAGAAAGCAGCCAUGCAUGUGUCUUGUAGAUUAAAAAGACAGAAGCUUCUUAAAGUAUUAACACUGAUGUUCUGAAUAUGCUUUUUUUGGCAUGUAAAUAGGAUGGUAGAAAGAGGGACGCAGAGCCCUGCGUAUGAAGGCUUUUUAAAGAUAGGUAAAUCAUUUCUUCUUAAAUGAAUUCUGUUUGACUGCAUGAAAUAUGAACAGUAAUUAAAUGCACAGUCUGUGGGCCUUCCAUACUUUAAAGCAUUUUCUUUCUUCCUUCCUUUUUUUCUUUCCCCCUUAAAAAAAGUGCUCACCUCAGACAGGCCAAUUACCCAAGAAUGAUGGAGUCAAGAGGAAAGUAGCUAAAUUUCUUUACUUGAGUGAUCACAACCACAAGCAAGCGAUUAGUCCCUGCAAGCACCAGCGGGGAUGUAGUGGGGACACUCGUGCUGGAAGGCUUCAAAUAGUCAUUUCCUUGGUUUAAAAUAAAAUCUGACUGCACUAAAUAGACAGUUUUUAAUCUCAAUUGGACAUCUGAAGAUUUCUCAAGCUGUUGUUGGCCGCUGCAGAAACGAAUUUUUCUGCUUUGUUGAUUAAACCAGUGGUCUCCGCCAUUGCUUAUCGGCCUGCGACGAGCUGUUCUUUUUAAUUAAAAGUGAGCCACCACGAGAGAGCAAUUAACAGCUAGUAAUUACUAUGCUCUUCAGAACGGCAACAUUUUGCCUUUCAUUCCAAUUAUAUAAUGGACAAGUGGCUUUUUGAUCUUCAAAUUAGUGAGCUCUUGUACUAUUUGUUUUGAGGCAGAUUUGGAAGGUUAAUGAUGGCCUGUGGUGGCACUCUUUCGACUGACUGAUGUAAGACAAGGAGGGGAAAAAACAGGGUAAAGAAACAGGAAUAGUCUAUCAAGAAAUGCAAAUGUUGCCUUCAUGAUAAUGAACAGGAAAGACAAGGAGUUCUUAAUAUGCAGGUUGUUUAAUAAGAGCAAAACAGGGCCUUGUUUUUUUUUUUGGUCUUAACUUGCAACUGUGGAAUUCUGUUCUGAAAAAGUUUUAAUUAAAUGUUCUAAUAUAGAUCCUUUGGAGAGUGACACAUAACAUUUAACUGCUUGAUUCUUAAUUGUGUUUGCCUUUGAUUGUGGCACCUAUAAUUUAAUGUUUUACCAUGGUACAGAGACCUGGAAGUUUCCCUGAGGAUAUACAAUGCAUUGACUUCAUCUGAAAGUCUUUUAAGUAAUAAGCCUUAAAAUUUAUUUAAUGGCCACCAUGUCCUUUGAGUACAGGGACCCCUUCCAUCACAAAUCCUUGUCUAAUUUUAAUUAAUAUUGAUUUGCAUUUCUUAAAGAGAAAGCAUGAUCGUUGCUACAGCUUACAGUCUAGGAGUCAUGCAUGAGGACGGGUAGGUGGAAUAUGUCAUCGGGUGAGUUUUAAGAGCAGAUCAAUGAUACCGUAUUAAGGUCAUCUUUGGCAUGGGUGUAAUUCAGCAAAGUAUACAUUGUCUUAACUGGAUAAUAUACCAAAGGAAUGUCUAAUCCUUUGAAUUAUUUUCCUAGCAUCUCUUGGUUUGAAAGCAUAGAAAACUGUCAGAAUUCUGAUAUAUUAGCAUUGAUCUCUUGGGGGAUCAACUUGCUUUUAAAAUAAGUAAAAAUAUAUAAAAAUACAAGGUAUUGAAUGAUAGUAGCAUCAAGCAAAGUACCACUAGAUUAUAUGAGUUCAUACGGCAUGUGUAUGAUGUUAGUCUUUAGGAAGAGCCUAAAAACUUGGCUCUUCCAGCAGGCCUUUGGAGAAUGAAUAUUUACUCCUAAGACAGAUCCCGUUCCAGUGGCCACUACCAUAUUCAAUGCACUUUAUUCUAUUCACUCAGCUGGAAAUAACUCCAAUCGUCUACCUCAUCCCAACAUUUCCUAUUAACUGUAGCACUUUGGUCACCUACCUCUCUUUCAGUUUACAAUCUAUACAACAAUGCACUUUAACCCAGUUUGCUUUUAUGAAUCUUUCUCAG
ensembl:lncRNA